rnacentral:tRNA from 1 species
GGUCCCGUAGUCCAAUGGAUAGGACGAUGGUCUCCGAAGCCGUAGGUACAGGUUCGAUUCCUGUCGGGACUACCA